AUUGAACGCUGGCGGCAGGCCUAACACAUGCAAGUCGGACGGUAGCACAGAGAGCUUGCUCUCGGGUGACGAGUGGCGGACGGGUGAGUAAUGUCUGGGGAUCUGCCCGAUAGAGGGGGAUAACCACUGGAAACGGUGGCUAAUACCGCAUAACGUCGCAAGACCAAAGAGGGGGACCUUCGGGCCUCUCACUAUCGGAUGAACCCAGAUGGGAUUAGCUGGUAGGCGGGGUAAUGGCCCACCUAGGCGACGAUCCCUAGCUGGUCUGAGAGGAUGACCAGCCAAACUGGACCUGAGACACGGUCCAGACUCCUACGGGAGGCAGCAGUGGGGAAUAUUGCACAAUGGGCGCAAGCCUGAUGCAGCCAUGCCGCGUGUAUGAAGAAGGCCUUCGGGUUGUAAAGUACUUUCAGCGGGGAGGAAGGCGAUGCGGUUAAUAACCGUGUCGAUUGACGUUACCCGCAGAAGAAGCACCGGCUAACACCGUGCCAGCCGCCGCCGUAA
rnacentral:rRNA from 1 species